UGAAAGCUAACAUUAAGAAAUUGAGCUCGUUUGAUAAGUACAAACAAGAAGUCCUCCUUGGCCAUCUCGACUGGACCCCUGUUCACAAAGAUCCCAUGUUCUGGCGUGAUAACAUUAGUAACUUUGAAGAGAAUGAUUUCCAGGUAUUUUUUUCUCCUUCUGAGUUCUUUCUUCGUGGCUUUAUCUUCUAAACUGUGAUGUCUUCAUUGACAGUGUGCUCUACAUGCACAACAUCGAUGAUAUGAAGCAUUCAAUGAAUAGAAAAAUCCUAAUUGUGCAAUUGACCUCUCCUAAUUGUGCAAUCGACCUCCCAAAAGUGUGUGGGUUUCAUGUGUGUGAACCGAUUGCAGUACAUAUACACACAUGCCUACACAACAUAACACACAUCAAUGUGCACGCUCUAUAGACAUGAACAUGCAUGUCUGUGAAUAACAAACACUAAGAACUGUCAACGGUGGCUGUAGGCUCUUAUGUGUUCGAACUAGAAAUAAUACAAACACAGACCUCCACAUCCUACGCUUAUGCGCAAACACAAAGUUCUGAAAGGAUAUGGGUUCAUGACACGUCCUCUUUGUGCUUUUCGAUCCUCUUCCAGGGUUAGGUAGAUCUCCAUGCAAGGGACCAAUUAUUUUAGUUGUAAGUUGAUUGCUUGACUCACACCCCACAUCGCAACAUUUUGAACAACCAUGCAUUCAUGCACGUAGUGCAUCAACUCAUGAAAAAGAAGUAAGCAUUAUUCUUAGUAACCUGUUCAUUUGUCUAAUGUAGUAAUUUCUCCUCACUUUUUGGUAAUAUGAAUAAAAAUGCAAUCCUUUCCACCACCAGUUAAUAUCAAUAUGCUAAAGCCAAAUCAAUUGCUGACAAUCCAUGAGACGAGAAGUAUGUAAAUAAGAAAGCUUGAAACAAAAUGGUAAUUGAUAGAGAAUGUCAUUCCAGUGUAAUUUGGUAAUGCAUGUCCUUUACGGGAAAUUUUGUAGGCAACUAUGGUUGGUUUUGGAACUUGUGGUCCUCAAACCCUGGAACCCAAAUCACUGAUAGCUAGAUUCAAGGGGAUUUGGGGACUUUUCAGGUUAAGUAGGUCAUUGGAACAAGAGACAUAGGAACAAACUACUAUUUUAGGGAUGGAGGAUUAGUCAAAUCAAAUUGACAGGAACAACUGAACUCUUUUCCUCUUAUUCCGCCUGAAACAACUACUCCACUCCCUGAUUUAUCAAACUGUUUGGAAACUAUCUUGACUUCUUGCUUCAUCUAUGAAAUACCCUGUUCAUGGAACUCGUUCUGCUUCAUCAAUGAAAGUAUGCUAGGGGUUGUUGCUUGGUCACUAGAUUUCUGCUGUUUUCUGCUGGACCACACUCUAAUCUUGACCUCCAAUCGAGCUUCAAGCACGAGUAGAUAGAGAUGCUCUUAUCAUGUUUUGGCUGAAAAGCAAAGCCUAAGUCCUCUAUUGGAUGUCAUUUCAUCCACACUUCUAUUAUUUGUAGAGAAAGGUCACUUCAACCCCCCUUUUGCCAGCAUGGCAGACUCGGGUUUUUCCCAAACUACACAUAGAUCAUUAUGCUUCUAAAAUAUCGCAAUUUAUGUAUAACUAAUAUAUGACAUUUUGCUCAUAUUCUUUUACACUGUAUAGUGACUAGAGCCCUUUGGGAUAUUAUUUUUGGGUUGAUAGAUGUUAAGUGGGUCCUCCCAGAAACUGUAAAGGAGACUUUAAUCUCCUGGAGGGGCUCAUUUGUAGGGAAGAAAAGGAAAAAGAUUUGGAAAUCCAUUCCGUUAUGUAUUUUUUGGACGGUUUGGAGGGAGAGGAAUAGGUUAGCUUUUAGGGGGGGUGAGUUGAAUAUUCAGAAAUUAAAGUAUUCUUUUGUCUGUAACUUGUGGAAUUGGGCCAAAGUGUAUCUAGGUGAGGAGUCUUUCUCCCUCAUAGGUUUUUUGGAGUGGAUAGCUUCCACUUAAGGGAAGGUAGUUUCUUUCUGGUCCUUUUUCUUUUUGAGGCUUUAGCCGCCUUGUAUACUCCCUGUAUGCUUUGUGGCGUUUAGCCCGUUCUUUAAUAUAUAUCUUGCUUACUUAUCAAAAAAAAAAAAAAAAUAUAUGACAUUUUGCCUGCAGAUUCUUAGGGUCCUCAUUACAAUUUUGGACACGUCCAGUGACCCAAGGGCGCUGGCUGUAGCGUGCUUUGAUCUGUCACAGUUCAUUCAAUACCAUCCAGCAGGGAGGGUCAUUGUAAACGAUCUCAAGGCGAAGGAGCGGGUGAUGAAACUGAUG
rnacentral:lncRNA from 1 species